rnacentral:lncRNA from 1 species
UGACAAACAAUGAGCAAGGUAAAGAAAUAUCUUGUACUUUCAAUAUUGAGGUGGCUUGUAGUUUUUAUUCAUGAAUACAAUAGUAAGAGCGUCCUAGUUCAACACUUCACUAAAUCUUGAAUUAUAAAGAUGAGUAUCUGACUCAAAAUAAUUCAAUUAACUUCAACUCGAUGAAUUAAAAAUGACAACAUAGAUCAAAAAGACAACAUAGACAUAUAGUGACAGUCAUGAUUUUAACGUUAAAUAUAACGGAAAUACUAUAAGGAGAUCUGAUGUUGUAUGAUUGUCAAAAAUACAAGAUCCUACCAGAG